rnacentral:rRNA from 1 species
AGUGAACGCUGGCGGUAGGCCUAACACAUGCAAGUCGAACGGCAGCACAGUAAGAGCUUGCUCUUACGGGUGGCGAGUGGCGGACGGGUGAGGAAUACAUCGGAAUCUACUUUUUCGUGGGGGGAUAACGUAGGGAAACUUACGCUAAUACCGCAUACGACCUACGGGUGAAAGCAGGGGAUCUUCGGACCUUGCGCGAUUGAAUGAGCCGAUGUCGGAUUAGCUAGUUGGCGGGGUAAAGGCCCACCAAGGCGACGAUCCGUAGCUGGUCUGAGAGGAUGAUCAGCCACACUGGAACUGAGACACGGUCCAGACUCCUACGGGAGGCAGCAGUGGGGAAUAUUGGACAAUGGGCGCAAGCCUGAUCCAGCCAUACCGCGUGGGUGAAGAAGGCCUUCGGGUUGUAAAGCCCUUUUGUUGGGAAAGAAAAGCAGCAGGUUAAUACCCCGCUGUUCUGACGGUACCCAAAGAAUAAGCACCGGCUAACUUCGUG